CCAAUCACUGAUCUUCGCGGAGCUGCACUUGCCCGCCCCGAGCAUUAUUGACCAAUAAAAAGCAGGGGUCGGUCUCCGAAAGCAGUGUACCGCCUCCCGAACUCGCGGACCAAUCGCAAAUAAGGGUUGCCCUUCUGUUCUCCGAAUCGAAGAGUGACGUCACACCCUGUUUCCCCGCCCCUUUCUGUGCCGGCCUAUGGACAACAGUAACCACACCCCCGGAUGCCACUACUGGCCAAUCGCUGUCCGGCAUCUCGCUGUCUGUUGCCCCGCCUCCCGCGUUGAGAUGACCAAUCUCAGGCAGUGACUUUCCACUUUCCCUCCCGCCCUCCUGGCUUGGAUCACUGACACCUAGGACGGCCCCUUCCCAGGUUCUGCCAGCCCAAGUGCAACCACUUCACGUGAUAUGCGGUCCAGUCCUCUCUGAAUGCCGGGCAGCAGCAGCGAGCGGCAGCUGCCAGCCAGUCCCGUGAUCAGGAGGGGAAUCACCGACACUGUUCACUGGAAGACAACCAGAGCGGUCCCACGGUGAUCGCUGU